UGCUGUAGGAGAAGGUGUUGGCAGAAUGGAGGGAAGGCCUCCAGGUGUAAGCUGGAGAUACAUCCUGAAGGACGGGUGAAAGCUGAGUGGUUGAUAAGCUUAUUGAGGAAGUCCUCCAGUAAAUAAAGGAAAGAAACCAAGAAACAGGACAACUUGAAUCACAGAAGCAAACGCAGAGCAGGAAGGCGAGGCUACAGAUGUGAGAUCACCCAUUCAUAUUAAGUUUUUUCAAGAACUAUUGAAGGUAACUCCGUACUACUGAAGGUUACUCCGACAACAUGCCCAGCAGGUCAAACAUAGCAGGCCACGCGGGCCUUGGAAGUACAUAGAAAGCUCCACUUCAGGAAGCUAAAUACAUAAAAUGGUCAUCUGUUGAUGGCGUGACCGCACUGGGGGUUCACCAGCAUCCUGGGGACGGUGAUGGAGGGAAAGCAGAUGCUGAGAAGAGACAAGUUGCCAAGGAAGCGGAACAUGAGGCUGUGGAGGAAGAAGCUGUACUCUCGGUGCUUUUGUGACAUUUCCACCCACCUGACUGGAAAGGGAGCAGGAGUUACCUUUACAUUGAGGGGCUGCAGGAGACCAGCCUGAAGAACUGCAAGAGAGUCGAGCUUCACCAACCAGAGUGUAUCCUUUGUCACAUUUAUAUAUCACCUCCGUACGAGCGAAUACACUGAAUGCUUGAGUUC